AACGAACGCUGGCGGCAGGCCUAACACAUGCAAGUCGAGCGAGAUCUUCGGGUCUAGCGGCGGACGGGUGAGUAACGCGUGGGAAUAUGCCCUUCUCUGCGGAAUAGCCUCGGGAAACUGAGCGUAAUACCGCAUACGCCCUUUGGGGGAAAGAUUUAUCGGAGAAGGAUUAGCCUGCGUUGGAUUAGGUAGUUGGUGGGGUAACGGCCUACCAAGCCGACGAUCCAUAGCUGGUUUGAGAGGAUGAUCAGCCACACUGGGACUGAGACACGGCCCAGACUCCUACGGGAGGCAGCAGUGGGGAAUCUUAGACAAUGGGGGCAACCCUGAUCUAGCCAUGCCGCGUGAGUGAUGAAGGCCUUAGGGUUGUAAAGCUCUUUCAGCUGGGAAGAUAAUGACGGUACCAGCAGAAGAAGCCCCGGCUAACUCCGUG
rnacentral:rRNA from 1 species